GCCCUCGGUAGCGCAGUGGGCAGCGCGUCGUCUCACAUAAUCACCCAGCUGAGUAAUCUGGAAGGUCGUGAGUUCGAUCUCACCGGGGCA